AGAGUUUGAUCCUGGCUCAGGAUGAACGCUAGCUACAGGCUUAACACAUGCAAGUCGAGGGGAAACGAUAUUGGAAGCUUGCUUCCGAUAGGCGUCGACCGGCGCACGGGUGAGUAACGCGUAUCCAACCUGCCCACCACUUGGGGAUAACCUUGCGAAAGUAAGACUAAUACCCAAUGACGUCUCUAGAAGACAUCUGAAAGAGAUUAAAGAUUUAUCGGUGAUGGAUGGGGAUGCGUCUGAUUAGCUUGUUGGCGGGGUAACGGCCCACAAGGCUACGAUCAGUAGGGGUUCUGAGAGGAACGGUCCCCCANAUUGGAACGUGAGACACGGUCCAAACUCCGUACGGGAGGCA
rnacentral:rRNA from 1 species